GACGAACGCUGGCGGCGUGCUUAACACAUGCAAGUCGAACGGAGUGGCGAACGGGUGAGUAACACGUGGGUGACCUGCCCUGCACUUCGGGAUAAGCCUGGGGAACUGGGUCUGAUACCGGUUAGUGUGGGAUGGGCGCGGGGCCUAUUAGCUUGUUGGUGGGGUAUUGGCCUACCAAGGGGGCGACGGGUAGCCGGCCUGAGAGGCGGGACGGCCACAUGGGGACUGAGACACGGACCAGACUCGUACGGGAGGCAGCAGUGGGGAGUAUUGCAGAGUGGGCGGAAGCCUGAUGCAGCGGCGCCGCGUGGGGGAUGACGGCCUUCGGGUUGUAAACUCCUUUCACCAUCGACGCGGUAGAUGGAGAAGAAGCACCGGCUAACUACGUGCCAGCAGCCGCGGUAAUAC
rnacentral:rRNA from 1 species